rnacentral:rRNA from 1 species
GGAAGGAUCAUUAAAGAAAAUGAUGAAUAAUUGGUAGAGGAGGAGUGAUCGAGCCUGCGCUUAAGUGCGCGGCGAGGUUGUUCUUUUUCGUUACGCCGAUAAUUCUUUACACACACUGGAGUUUUAUUUCUACAGUAUCGGAGGUAGCAAUACCGCCAAAACAAAACACAAACAAUUAUUUUUUAUUAUUUUAAUUUGUCAUUUCAAAAUCUGCUUUAUUGCAGUAACCAAAAUAUUCAAAACUUUCAACAACGGAUCUCUUGGUUCUCGCAUCGAUGAARAACGCAGCGAAAUGCGAUACGUAAUGUGAAUUGCARAAUUCCGUGAAUCAUCGAAUCUUUGAACGCACAUUGCACCCCUUGGUAUUCCAGGGGGCAUGCCUGUUUGAGCGUCAUUUCCUUCUCAAAUACUUGUAUUUGGUUGUGAGUGACACUCAGUCUUGCAUUGAGUUAACUUGAAAUUGUUGGCCGUAGCGGUUGUUGCAGCUUAUAGUUUUUGUGUAAUGGUAUGAUUUCUUUACUAUUAAACAGGAUGCUUGAGCAUGUCGUAUUAGGUUUUACCAACUCCGGCAGACUCGGUAUCUUGGAAGAGCGUACUGGCAUUAGAACAUUGAACUGUCGACUGUGGCAAACAGUACUCUUUAAGUUUGACCUCAAAUCAGGUAGGAAUACCCGCUGAACUUAAGCAUAUCAAUAA